rnacentral:rRNA from 1 species
AUACGUAGGGGGCAAGCGUUGUCCGGAAUUACUGGGCGUAAAGCGCACGCAGGCUGACUUAUAAGUCGGUAGUCUAAUGCGGAGGCUCAACUUCCGUUUAUCUAUCGAUACUGUCAGACUAGAGUAUGUGAGAGGGAAGUGGCAUUCCCGGUGUAGCGGUGAAAUGCGUAGAUAUCGGGAGGAACACCAGUGGCGAAGGCGACUUCCUGGCACAAUACUGACGCUCAUGUGCGAAAGCUAGGGUAGCGAACGGGAUUAGAUACCCCGGUGGUCCUAGCCGUAAACGAUGGAUACUAGGUGUGGGUGUCGCAGGGCAUCCGUGCCGCAGCUAACGCGUCAAGUAUCCCGCCUGGGGACUACGGUCGCAAGACUGAAACUCAAAGGAAUUGACGGGG